rnacentral:tRNA from 1 species
GGCAAGAUGGCCGAGCGGUCUAAGGCGCCACGUUAAGGAGUUCCAAACCCUUAAUCUCAGUUUCCGUGGUCCGAAAGGGCGUGGGUUCGAAUCCCACUCUUGUCA